AGAGUUUGAUCAUGGCUCAGGAUGAACGCUAGCGGGAGGCCUAACACAUGCAAGCCGAGCGGUAGAGAUUCUUCGGAAUCUUGAGAGCGGCGUACGGGUGCGGAACACGUGUGCAACCUACCUUUAUCUGGAGGAUAGCCUUUCGAAAGGAAGAUUAAUACUCCAUAAUAUAUUGAUUGGCAUCAAUUGAUAUUGAAAGCUCCAGCGGAUAGAGAUGGGCACGCGCAAGAUUAGUUAGUUGGUGAGGUAACGGCUCACCAAGACGAUGAUCUUUAGGGGCCUGAGAGGGUGAUCCCCCACACUGGUACUGAGACACGGACCAGACUCCUACGGGAGGCAGCAGUGAGGAAUAUUGGUCAAUGGGUGCAAGCCUGAACCAGCCAUCCCGCGUGAAGGACGACUGCCCUAUGGGUUGUAAACUUCUUUUGUAUAGGGAUAAACCUACCCUCGUGAGGGUAGCUGAAGGUACUAUACGAAUAAGCACCGGCUAACUCCGUG
rnacentral:rRNA from 1 species